AGUAUAAACUGAAAAAUAUUUUAAGAAAAUGCGUGAAAAAUUAAGUACAAAAGAAAAUAAUUCUAAAAAAGAGAUUCACAAUACUAUGUCCUUAACUUUAUAUUUGUCAAAAAGAAGAUAACAACAAACACCUGUGUUUUCACACCCAGCUUAAUAAUGACUACUGAUAUAGUUGAAGCUCCUUUGUGCUCUUCCUAGCUCACUUCUCCCUUCCUCCUAGACAUAACCACUCCUUGUCAUUUCUUAUAUUUUUAAAUUUAGUCACCUACUGCUGUGUAACAAAGCAUCCCAAAAGUCACAGGCUUACAACAGUAAUCACUCAUACUUGAAGAUUCUUUAUGUCUUGAAGGUCUUUAAUUUGCCAGGCAUUGAGUUCAAUCCGGUUUGGUUUCUCCACUAAUAACUGGGUGUGCCAGCACUCUGUGGACACAUUCUCCUUUCCCUAUCGAUCUGCUGCGUCAGAAAAAUCAAGCAUCUGCACACGUGAGGACCUGCUUCUGCUUUGGUUUGACUGUCCUCACUGUACCGAAACCACACUGUCUUACUUAAAUAGCCGUUUUUGGACUUGCUUGGGAGCUUCCCUGCUACUCCAGAAAGCCUCAUUAUGGGAAUCAUGAAGUCUUUUGGACCCCCUUGGUGUGUGUGUGACUUCGUCAUUCUCAACGACUGAGCUGG